UGCAUGUGUAUUCAUAAAAUUUGGCUUUUAGCAAAAAACAGUAACAAUGGCGUCAACUUCACUUGAUCCGUUAAAAACAUUUGAAUCGAUCAAAGUGUAGCGGAGGUCUUCUAGUGCAUGUGUAAACGUCAGUCUUUGUUAGGGAUCUACUUCUUUUCCUACUAUGGUGAGGGAAAUGACUCCGGACCGAAUGGUGUCAGAUUGGUUAUUAUUACACUAAUAACACAAGCGUCAGUUUUUAUAUUGGAUUUGAGUUGGAUAAUAAAACAAGCAGAUUAACCAGGAAACAUUUGCAAGCAGGAGUCAAAGGACGUUUCAUAGAAGUGUUUUAGAGGUCUCCGGCUCGACCUUGCCAUUCUUGUACGGUUUCAUCUUAGGGCUUAGAUUCUUCCCCAGCUUCUCAGCCAAACAGGCUCUGGAAGGGUGUGGUCUUCCCGUCUCAGACGCCGCCUUCCAAACCUGAGCAUCUUCUUUAGAAGCAUUGGAACUGACUUGUUGAGAUCUUGUACUGGAUCCAGUGGCUCCG